rnacentral:rRNA from 1 species
UACGUAGGUCCCGAGCGUUGUCCGGAUUUAUUGGGCGUAAAGCGAGCGCAGGUGGUUUAUUAAGUCUGGUGUAAAAGGCAGUGGCUCAACCAUUGUAUGCAUAGGAAACUGGUAGACUUGAGUGCAGGAGAGGAGAGUGGAAUUCCAUGUGUAGCGGUGAAAUGCGUAGAUAUAUGGAGGAACACCGGUGGCGAAAGCGGCUCUCUGGCCUGUAACUGACACUGAGGCUCGAAAACGUGGGGAGCAAACAGG